UCUGGCUUAUAGCCAAGCGGUCUCACUAGAGUCCCCAACUAAAUGAUGGUAACUAGUGACGAGGGUUGCGCUCGUUGCGGGACUUAACCCAACAUCUCACAACACGAGCUGACGACAGCCAUGCAGCACCUGUCUCCGCGUCCCCGAAGGGAACCCCUACUUUCAUAGGGUAGCGCGGGAUGUCAAGUCCAGGUAAGGUUCUUCGCGUAGCAUCGAAUUAAACCACAUGCUCCACCGCUUGUGCGGGCCCCCGUCAAUUCCUUUGAGUUUCAACCUUGCGGCCGUACUCCCCAGGCGGGAUGCUUAAUGCGUUAGCUGCGCCACUGAUAAGCAUGCUUACCAACGGCUAGCAUCCAUCGUUUACGGCGUGGACUAC
rnacentral:misc_RNA from 1 species